CAGAGGAGUCACAAGAUGGAAGGAGUCCUCAUCAUCCUCUUCUUGGGCUAUUCUCAUUGCCAGGCCCUUUUCUGGGACGAGAUCAGCCAAAACGGCGGAGGAGCCCAAUAAUAAAACCUGGCAACUUUAUAUACUAGAAGACCCUUGCGAACAGAACAUUCAACUUUAACAAUUAAAAUUCACGAAUGUCCCUUUAAAAAUGGGAAACAGUCCACCAAACUUUGUAAACGCCUCUCUCUACUUAGAAUUUUCAUGCAGCGUACCGUCAACAAAAGCAGA